rnacentral:misc_RNA from 1 species
UGGUGCAUCUGAUUGAAACUGAAAAGGAGGGAUCAUGUUUGUUUUCACUGUUAAGAAGAGAAGUUUAAAAUAGGGUGUUCGUUGAUGCUUAGAACUUCUUGUAGUUAUGGGUUGGUGAUGUGCUCUCUUAGUCUCUGUCUCUCCUUCUGGGUUGGAUUUUCAUUUGGGAAGGGAGUUAACGAAACAUUUGUGUCACUGUUUGGCUUUGAACAUGAUGCAUGAACCCCUCAAACAGAUACUCAAAAUAGUAAAAGAAAAGUUGGCUUUUUAUUAAAUAACCUAAAGUGAAGGCAAUUGAAUAAUAAAGAGUUCAAUUACACCUUUUGGCAUUUAUAAAAGUCUUUUUCCUUAAUCAAAAUCAUUUAUUAGGUUUUUGGGGUUUUAAUUUAAAGGUGCAAAACGUAAGAGUUUAAAAAAUAAAGUUUGGGAUUGCAUCAUAGCAAAG